AGUUUUAAUAGUUUAACAAAAACAUUGGUCUUGUAAAUCAAAAAUAAGAAUUAUUCUUUUUAAACUUC
rnacentral:tRNA from 1 species